rnacentral:rRNA from 1 species
UACGUAGGGGGCCAGCGUUGUCCGGACUUACUGGGCGUAAAGCGCGCGCAGGCGGUGGCGGAUGUGCCGUGUGAAAGCGCCGACCAAACGCGGCGAGGCCACGGUAGACACUGUCACUCGAGCCUCGGAGAGGCCGGUGGAAUUCCGGGUGGAGCGGUGAAAUGCGUAGAGAUCCGGAGGAACACCAGAGGCGAAAGCGGCCGGCUGGCCGAGUGCUGACGCUGAGGCGCGACGGCGUGGGGAGCGAACCGG